rnacentral:ncRNA from 1 species
CGCCGCUCUCCACCUUAUGAGCGCCGCGCGAGCCGAAGAAAGGAGUUUGUUUUCCCGCAGGAUCCGCGGUGCGGCAGUGUGGAGACCUGCCGUAUAGCCUCCGUACAUAUUUGGCGGAGGUAAGGUCUGAGCAAGCGGAGGCUCUCAGGUCAGGAUCGGUACGCAUGGCA